UGAGCAACUUUUGAUUUGUGGAUGGCCCAAUGUGCAUUUUCUUUUUCUUUUGCUCCUAAUUUUGUGCACAUUUCCCUAAGAGGCAAGAUUUAAAGCGCAGAGUCAUCCUGUAAGCCUGGUUUGUUUCAGCCCUACAACCUCCCUCUGCCCUUUGAGAGAAAGCUUCCCCCAGUCACGGUGAGCUGUGCCUGCAUUGUCUACGUGCUGCACAAUGGAAGAAUGCUGGUAAAGUUCAUCUUUAGACUAAUGGCUGCCUUAUCACUGCACAACUCCCCUAUGUUUGUAUUUGGAAAGCAAGUGAAAAUGGAUAAAAUACAGCAUAUUCAGAUUAUCAUAAGAAACUGCAAGACAAACACAGGCAGUGAAACCAGUGAAACCAGAGAGUUUCCUGGAACCUACUAUACCUACCUACCUUAAAAGAUCUGCUAAGUAAUUGCUCAUCAAUGAAGUGAGUUUUUUCCCAUCAUUGGACGAUUGAUGCCAUCCUACUAUAAACUGAUAAAAACAAUCCCUCAUCUGUUCUGGAGUCUUCAGAGCUUGCUCCUUAAUCACUCCAGUGACAAGAAACAUGUUUCAUCCUGCCCUUCAAAUGCUUUGCUCUACCAGACACCACCUGCAUGAAUAUUAUAUUCCUGAAGAAAUCUGCUUACCAAGUGGGGUGAGGCGAGGAAACAGGAAUAUUAACAGAGAUGUUUGCUGUGCUGCAAAGAAAUGUUAUGGUACAUUGCACCUAUGAUAUAUCCACCCUAACAACUGAUGAGGAGAGAAGGAACAUUCAUGACUUUGCAAUAAUGAGAUUGCUGAUCCACGACCUGCUAGCAAUUCCUGUACAGAGGAAAUAAAGUCAAAUAGAAUUGCCAAGGACCUCAUCUCCAUGCUGAUAACUGCACAUCUUCUCAGACACAUCCAUCCUCAGAUCACUCUUUCUGUUAUUAAAACUUUUAUUGUUAUGGCUGAAGUAGUGGUGAGUAGUCUUGUCCUCUGAGCAGUGAACUGUCUAUAGACUCCAUAAAUCCAUUUAUUUUGUCUGGUUUUAUUCAUUGGCAAGUUUUUUAUUGUCAAGACUCAGUCAGACAAGAAAUCAAACUGAUAGGUACCAAUUCUAAGAGAAAUUUUCCCAUUUACCUUUAAUUGUUUUCUAAUUGAUACAAAUAACUAUGUGGAUGCUGCUUUAUAUCAAUUAGUCUCCAAAGAUUAGAAUCAGUUUAUAUUGAAGCUAACCCACCACUGUCAAAUUGAAAUAGUGUUUAUACAGUGCCUCAUGACUAGAUUUAAAUUGGAUUUAAAAUAAAUUGGUGCAUUUUCCUUAUGCAGACAUAUUUUUGUUUAAUAACACUACACAUGGUACACCAGAUAUGCAAAAAACUAGCACUGAUGAGUUGUUUGCAUAGAUGGUCAGUGCUCACUGGUUUUUGCUUGCUUGAGAGAUCAAGGGUUAAUCAAGGAAAUGGGAGAAAGAGUGAAUCGAAGGGACUAGAAUGUCUUAUCAGCUGUGACCUGCUCAGCUCCUGAGACACAGAAGAAACAAGGAAGUGAUUUCUAGGUUAUAGCAGUUCAAGACUCACCCUUCAGAAUUUUCUGGAGAACUAUGGUACUCUUCACCAUGCUCAUCCAUGUCCUGCAAUGCUCCUCAUUUGGAGACUUCCUAUUGGCAAACUGUUUUCCACUAGCAUGGACCAAGUUUCCCUCUAUAUACUGAAAACUAACCCUUACCUGUCUGUGUCCAUACCAAUUUCUGUAAAUUAUACUGUUGCUAAGAACAAAAACAUUUAACCCUAGCAAUUUGCAAGCAUACUAAUACAGAGCUAUUAAAACAUCAUUUAUAUGUUGAGAAGGCCUGUCUACAUUUUACAAGUUUGCCUUCCACUCAACUUCAGUAUUUAGCUUAGAAGUAGAUAGGAUAAAACAAAGUAAAGCAGACACAAGUAAGGUACAAGUACUGUGCUUGAUAUGGAGGUCUGUGGCUCUGGAAAACAUAUUGUGAUGGAUGGUUACAUUUUUAAUCUAUAUUUUUGAAUGUCAUUUGAAUGUCAUAAAUAUGUCAGAUUUUCUCAAAAAAAAAAAAAGUCUAUCUUUCUUCAGAAAUUACCAGAUACAGAGAAUAUCAUUCAGUUGUCUCACUGAAAGCAAGUGUAAUUUAAACUGAUCUGUCUUUGCAAACAAUGAGCACUGAAAGACUCUAUACACCAGCACUGUAGCAGUCACCAAUAAAUGGUAUUUAAACUGAAAAAGCUAGUGUCAGAGAUCUAAGUUCUUCUAAAGGUGAAUGCGUACCAUUUUCUUUAGGUCUGUUAAAACCUUCAAUACAAAUAGGAAAAGUUAAUUGCUUUGCUCUCAUUAUACUAUACCUACCAUUACAGUUUUCUUUUAAUCCACCUUCCUACUCCUAACGACUGUUUCAAAAGUAAGAGUCUAGAAGAAAAUAUUUGAAUAUUGAUGCUUCUAGCCAUUUAUUUUAAGACAAGCAUUAGAACUAUUGAAUUAUGCCACUUUCAAUAAAAACUGCAUCUGCAUUUACGUGCUGUGCACUGAGACAGACUUUUCCUGGCUAUCAAAUGGCCAGGCACAAAACUGCACAGGGAACAAGUUUCAGGCAAUUGCAGAAGAGGUUCAGUGGGUGGGUACAUCUGUCCCAGGCACAAUAUGAUAGAGAUGAAUUAUGCUUACACACAUGACAUAGAGAUGAAGACGCUGCACAGAGAAAUGAUAGGCAUGUAAGAAAAUAUACUGGCCUACUACUACUUAAAAUGAAGUCAUUGGUGUGUGUUACUAUCAACAUGAGGAUUCAGGAUCAAGGCAAGAUCCCAGACUAUUGUAUAGCAUUAAAACAAAACCACUAUUAGUCUUAGCACUUUCCAGCAGCAAUUAAGGAAGAAUAUUCAGCAGUCUACCCUCUUGAAAUUCAAAAGCAGUUAGUAGAUAGCAAUAUUGCCAGUGUUUAUUGCACAAGUAAGCAAGGGAGCAAAUUUGAACCUCACAGUUAAUUUCCUAUUUGGUUCUCUUUGUCUAUUUGUUCUUUAAUGAUUUUGACAUUCUGCAUAAAGUGAUCUCAUUAGUAAGGUAUCUGCAUGAUGAAAUCUGUGUUCUCUUCUCAGGAAAGUGACUCCAAAACCUUAUUUACUAUUAUGCUUUCUAGAACUUAUGUAAGGUCUAUCAACAGCAUUAACAAUAGGACAAGUCAAGAGCAUUGUCUGUGAUUUGCUCCUUACAUUUUUGUGUGUUUGAUUACAACUUUGCAGCUGUGAAUGCUGCUAAUAGGUAUCUCCUGAAAAUGCUCACUUUCACAGAUAAAAAGAGGAUAGGAGGAGACAGAACUAU